GUCCAGCUGACAAGUCCAAAACAGGAUGAAACGCGCAUUCUGGAU
rfam:Schistosoma margrebowiei strain Zambia genome assembly, scaffold: SMRZ_scaffold0000330